UGUGGGGGAAGCUACACCCUAAGAAAGUCAGAGCAGCAAGAUGGAAGUAGCCUAAGACCCUGAAAAAUGCACAAAGAAGAAUCACCCGACUGGCUUGGACUUUCAUGUGAAAGGAAUGAACCUCUGUCUUAGUAAAGCCACUGUCUUUACUAAGUUCAGGGUCCUUGUCACGUUCACUGAGGCUGUAACAUAAUUGUUAGAAAGAACAGGAGUGGGAGGGGAGAUGGAGUCGGAGAGUCAGGCAGAGGUUAGAUCACCUACAGGCCAAGGUGGAGGAAGAAACAGGCGACACAGGACUCAAGGACAACACCUGCUCCCAGGCAAAAGGAGUUUGCUAAGACAUUGCAUUAAAUAGCAAGAUGGCAGAUGAACAUCAGGAAAGAACAUUAGGAACAUCCACAGUGUUCCAUCCAGGAACCUUCACCAUGGAAACCCUUGUGCUCAUGGGCCUGGUCUCAAGACACAUUCAGCUGUUGGGGAUCAGAGGCCGCACUCAUCGUAGCAGAGAGGCAGGACCAACUGGGAGAGGGUCAUUCUGUGACACCUACUGCAUCACCGGGCUGUGUGAAGUGACUCAGCUGCCAGAACUCACACAAUAUCAUUCUACACCAAAACCUCACGGGAAAAAUGACUAAAGUUUCAAUAUGGCACCUUAAUUCCUUAACGAAGAGAAAGAAUGUAUAUCUUGUGGUAAUGGGGACCAGCAGCUCCAUGAAUCAAAGCUUUCUGUGGCUCGAUCUAGUUCAGAGUCUGAGUGAUACAUUUAAUGUGCCAGCGAAAGCCUCUGGUAAACAGGGAGCAGUGUUACAGCCAGCAGAGCCCAAGAGCUUGCCAGAGCUGAUGGAGAUUGAAGGGAGCAGGUUGGAGCUCCUCCUGAGGCAGAAUGAGAGGAAGGCUCUCCCCAUCUCCUGAGUGUCAGGCUGGACUCAAAGGGGAGAGAAAAUAUUUUAAAUAAAACUGUCGUUGCAAUAAAAUGUGACAAUUCUCUUCCCUCUCCUUUUUUUCUUUUCUUUUCUUUUUCCUUUUUUUUUUUUUUUUUUUUUGGAC
rnacentral:lncRNA from 1 species